CCGAUGGAUUCUCGCCCUUCAUCUUCACUGCCUCCAACACUCAGGGAGGCCCUUUCCUCUCUGAUACCAUCCCAGCCUCCAGACUCGUCUCUACGCAGAAGAGCAUCCUUCAAGUUAUCCGUCGUGGGGGUGGAAGGUGCAGGGUCAAAGUCUUCCCGGUUGGAGUCUAUAAAGUGUAGGCAUGAGCAGCUGCAAGGCAGAACUAGUCUCUAACGAGUCAUCCAGGAGCACAGGCUGGGGUCCAAGAGGCACCUGUCGCACCACAACUGGGAUCUCCAGAUCGUCACCAGCUGUGGCUGCCUGCCCCACAAUCUCCAGCACCACACAGCCCUCAGGCAGUGUCAAAUCAUCUGGUUGCUCCUGAAGCUCAUCCUGAAGUGAUGCCAGACUCACAGAGGAGCCCUCCCGAGGUGACACAAGCAGCUCCGAGUCAGGAAUGCUGUCAAAUGGAGAAAGGUUCUCAGAAUCUGCAUUGUCCAAAAUCUCCGUCAGAGCUGUGAGCAGCGACACUUCAUUCUGGUC